rnacentral:rRNA from 1 species
UUCUACGGCCACACCCCCCUUGAAUAUGCCCAAUCUCGUCUAAUCUCGGAAGCGAUCCAGGGCCGGGCCUGGUUAGUACCUGGAUGGGAGACCACCUGGGAAUACCAGGUGUCGUAGACU